AUGGCCUUUGUUGUUAUAACUGAACAGAGUCCAAAGAAGGAAAAAAGGCAGGCCCUGACCACAAGGAGUUCAAAGCUUAGGGUCACCACUGGGCCCCCAGGGGGCUCUCUGGGGCAGACCUCCGCUCCAGGCCACUCGGACACCUUGUCGCCCAAGCCUGCAGGGCUCGCUGCAGCUCCCGGCCUUUGUCCAGCUGGGUUCCCUGGGUCGCAAGGUGGAAACCCAAGUCGGAGCCUGCAGGUUCCUGACCACCCAGCAGUGGGGGCUGGGCUCACCUUCGAUCCUGACUCUUGCCCCAGCACUUUCUGCUCAGGGCUGCCCACUUGGGCCUUCUGAUAAAGGAAGAGAAUGAAGGAGGCCGAGGGAGCAGACCCAGCUCUGAGGAAGCAGACACCCAGUGAAUCCUAAAAGGAAUCAACCCUGAUUAUUCAUUGGAAGGACUGACUGAUGCUGUAGAUGAAGCUUUGAUACUUUGGCCACCUGGUACAAAGAGCCGACUCACUGGAAAAGUCCCUGAUGCUGGGAAAGAUUGAAGGCAGGAGGAGAAGGGGAUGACAGAGGACAAGAUGGUUGGAUGUCAUCACUGACUCAAUGGAAAUGAGUUUGAGCAGGCUCUGGGAGCUGGUGAUAAACAGGAAGGCCUGGCGUGCUGCAUUCCAUGGGGUUGCAAAGAGUCUGACAUGACUGCGCGACUGAACAACAAUCAGGCC
ensembl:lncRNA